ACACUGCUGAGGACUUGGGGUACAGUCAUAGAACACUUGCUUGCUAUACACAAGGCAGAGACCCAGACCCCACCUGCUUCAACCGGAUCCAGCUAGCCAGAUGGAAAAGCUGAGACUGAAGGGAAGCAGUGAAGCCAGGACCCAAUUAAAGAGGCUCGGUGUGAGAAAGAAAAAGCCCAAGAUAGAAGCAGCACUCAGGAAGCUCUUCAGGAAGACGACAGUGCCACGUACAAACGCUAAAUGAAGCCUGGAACUGGACCCUGAGCACAGGACUUAAAGAGAUGCUAUCCCUCCCUUGGCCACUAGGCGGUGGCAGAGCAGCGUCCAAGGCUGCCCGUAAACAGCUGGCUCAGCAGGUAGCAGCCAGGAGACAAACCAGGCCUGUGAGCGAGAUUUCUGGAAAAGACAAGGUAGGAGCAGACUCUGGCCGAGGAUCAGAAACUUUUCAGAAGACCGACUCCUUUGUGCCUCCGCGUACUGAGUAUUCUAAAUCACCUGAGCUCCCUGCGUGUACCUGACCUCAUGCGGAGGCCCAAAAGACAAAUGAGAAGAGGAAGACAGGAUGAGGCAACAUGAGAGAGGGCGGGCCCCCGCUGCUCCCCUCCCCCUCCACAAACAAAGAAGCAUCCAGAAGAAGCCAGGCCCCCAGAUCUCCCACCUGCAUCUCCCUGCCCAGCCCCUGACCAGGGACAUUUUCCAGAGUCACUCGAGUCCCCAGUGAAACACAGGGAUGAAGAGUGUGGCUUACCUCCCUUAGACAUGUUUAUGCCUAGGGUCGCAGGAAGACACUAAAAGAGAUUUGAGACAAAAGCCACAGCGACGUCAAGAGCACUUGAGGGAGUUGGGAUGGGAGGGCACACCUGCAGUCCCAGAUGUGGAGAAGCUGCUGAAGGCUAGCCUCGGCUACCUAGUGAGCUCCAGGCCACCUUGAAGGGCUGCAUGUCCUCACCCUCACUGGUCCAGCUGGCUUAAGACCCAGUGGCAUGGCCCCCUUUCUGAACCUCUGUCUAUUGCCAGUCUGGGACUCCUGAGAACCUCUACCUAAGCCAUCCCCAGCAUUCUUCUGCAUCUGUCCUGGGCUCAGUGCAGAUCUCUAGCUCAGCGGACCUAGAACUUCAUUCAGUUCCUGGUCAUCUUUUGCUGCGUGGUGAGUUCAAGGACAGUCUGGGCUAUGUGGAAUCCUGUCUCAAAAACAAAACAAAGAAUGGUGACCACACCUCAUUCUGAAGAGCAAAAUAAAUUCCAGAUGAACCCAA